GAUGAACGCUGGCGGCGUGCCUAAUACAUGCAAGUCGAGCGAACAGACGAGGAGCUUGCUCCUCUGACGUUAGCGGCGGACGGGUGAGUAACACGUGGAUAACCUACCUAUAAGACUGGGAUAACUUCGGGAAACCGGAGCUAAUACCGGAUAACCUGUUGAACCGCAUGGUUCAACAGUGAAAGACGGUCUUGCUGUCACUUAUAGAUGGAUCCGCGCCGCAUUAGCUAGUUGGUAAGGUAACGGCUUACCAAGGCAACGAUGCGUAGCCGACCUGAGAGGGGGAGCGGCCACACUGGAACGGAGACACGGUCAAGACUCCUAGGGGAGGCAGCAGUAGGGAAUGUGCCGCAAUGGGGGAAAGCCUGACGGAGCAACGCCGCGUGAGUGAAGAAGGUCUUCGGAUCGGAAAACUCUGUUAUGAGGGAAGAACAAAUGUGUAAGUAACUAUGCACGUCUUGACGGUACCUAAUCAGAAAGCCACGGCUAACUACGUG
rnacentral:rRNA from 1 species